UGCAGUAAAAAUGUAAGUAUUUUGAAAAUAUUUUAGCUUGCUCCUCCUUACCAAUAUGCUAAUGAAAAGCAAGAGAAGAAAGGUUUCCCAUUUAUCAGAUACACACCAGUUCUUGGAAGGAAGUGUACCAGAAAACUUCUGUCUCCCUCCACAUUUCCCAGGCCAUCAGUCAGUACAUGAGACUCACCAGUGGGGGCCAAGUCUCAUCUCCUUUUCACACCUGACUAACCUCUGGUUUCUCUCACAUGUGGUUGAAGUUCUCAAGCUGUUCUCACCAUGGAUACAAAUGCCCAGGAUCUGCUAGUGACCUUUGCUUAAGCUCAUCUGGACCCCAGGGCUAGUGCCUUUUAUCAGAACACUCGAUAAACAAUGCUGUGGGGGAAUUACUCUGUUUUCUGUGAGCUUGACACCACUGACAGAGGACUCUACCUCAGCUGAGAUAAGAGGAUGAAUCUCAAAUUACUUGCCCUAUAAAUUAGACCAUUUUAAUGAGCCUUCCAUAUUUUCAUAUUGGAGCUACCAGG